AUAUUGUAAUACAUUCCAUUCAGUGUAAAUAUGACAAAGAUUUGGUGUAAAUAUAAUACGUCUUUAUCAAAAAUGCUUCUCAGUUUCAUUUCAAUCUGUAGUUUCAUUUUCAUAAUUUGCUUUCGCUAAGGCAUAGAUAAGGAGGAGCAGCAGAUGCAUUCUCGUAAAGAGGGUGCGGGAGAGAGAGGGAACGAUAUAUUGAAGUGAGAAACUUCUAUCAGUUUGGUAGUGCAUUGCUGUGAAAGGGGAGAGUGACAGCGAGCACAUGUCGACUGCAUUCCGAUGUCAUAACCCAUACACGCUCAGACACCCAUGUGAGAUUGAGUGUGCAGUGAAGACUACACCAUAAUCACUCCAGUCUUCAAGAAGGAGAGAUGUGUGGAGAACAAGAUGUUGGACACUAAUGGGAGAUGCUCCUACACCUGACAGCAUCACACUGCUCAUUGCAUCAUGACCAGCAGUAGCAGCAGCAAAAAUGAACCGAGAUAGUGAAUACAGAGCACAGGCUGUAAAUUCUCAAGCAAUUCGCCAUCACAUUACAUUCGAAAACGAUGAGACAGACAUUGAAUCCAUACUCAAACACUCAAAAACAUGUGUUUUUGAGAUAAUUAGAGAGCACGCUGAACGUUUCAAAGGUGCAAGGGCAACUACAUGUAGCUGAGAAGAAAAUGUGUUAUUUUGUUGUAUGGACAAAGAAAGACAUUCAUAUUGAAAAGAUCGAGAGGGAUGACAGGUUUUGGACCGAGAAAAUGGAGAAAAA